rnacentral:lncRNA from 1 species
UUUAAUUCCUUAACUAUCACAGCCACACCGACACCUUUAAAACCAAUAAAAGUAUAUUUGGCAACGGAAUCAAAACUGUUUCUUUUAAUGGUCGGACAAUUAAUCCUUUCCACCAUAUUAAGAAAGGUAAUAAUAUGGUGCGAUUCAGGUGAUUUUGAAAGAAAAAGAAAAAGAAUUUUGAUACCUAUAAUGUGCCAACGCCAAUCCACUUAGUAUAGAAGAAUAUUCCCACCAUCCAGUUCACGAUUUUUUUGCAUAUUUAAUUCCUUAACUAUCACAGCCACACCGACACCUUUAAAACUAAUAAAAGUAUAUUUGGCAACGGAAUCACAACUGUUUCCAUCACUGGUGGGACAAUUAAUCCUUUCCACUAUAUUUAGAGAUGCUUUCAUCCUUUAUAUCUGCUCAAUAUACAGCUUAUUCUCUCUAAUACGAGUCCUACCAAAUGGCCGAUGAAGAAGGUGACAU